rnacentral:rRNA from 1 species
UACGGAGGGAGCGAGCGUUGUCCGAAGUUACUGGGCGUAAAGCGCGCGUAGGCGGGGGAUUAAGUGAGAAGUGAAAGGCUGGGGCUCAACCCCAUGCAGUGCUUCUCAUACUGGUCCUCUUGAGGGCGGUAGAGAGAAGUGGAAUGGCUGGUGUAGUGGUGGAAUGCGUAGAGAUCCGGAGGAACACCAGCGGCGAAGGCGGCAUCCUGGACUGGUCCUGACACUCAGGAGCGAAAGCGUGGGGAGCGAUCCGG